CACUGGUUUGAUUUCUGGGGUGCAGCUAAAGAUGGUGUGCCCCUAGUUGAUAUGCUUAUCACUUUGAAUUUCUUUCGAUGUAAUUGGUGUAUAUAUUGCUCUUGCAUUGUAUUGCAAAGACUUGUCCCACGAAUUCUCUUCUGUUAGCAGGGACCUCAAUUUCAUAGAUCAUACCAGUGAUCUUGGGUGGAAAGAAUCUCAAAGGUCCCUGCCUAUUGUUGUUGACCCUGGAAUUUUCCUAGCAAGAAGGAGCCAGAUUUUUCAUGCUACAAACAAGCCGCCAACACCUGAUGCUUUCAAAGUAUUCACUGGCAAAGUCUAGUCUCAGUAGUAUACUGUUUUGACAGAGUUAUUAGUAGAAGCUGAAGCUCUGGGUAUUCGUUAACUUGUGGAAUGCCAUGUGCAAUAAUAGUUCUUUCUUCUACUGCGGGUUCCCCAUGGUUUAUCUUUAGCCGAUUUUUCCUCUGAAUUUUGCAUUCUUGGUUGGAAUAACCUUCCUCAGACCCUUCUCAUGUAUUUGAAAAAUGUGAUGUUGUCUGAAGAGGGCUAUGUCCAGUCUCUCAUUUGCAAUGCACCAGAGUAUAAGAACACUACUGUAAAUAGUGAUCUAAGAUGUGUGGUCUGGGACAAUCGUCCAAAGAUGGAACCGCACUCCUUGAAUGUUUCUGAUUAUGAUCAAAUGGUGGAGUUGCUUUUGCAAGACAGUUCAAGAGGAAUGAUCCUAUACUUGACAUGGUUAAAGAGUCCAUUUUAAAUGCAAAGCAAAUGAAGGCCUAUUGACUUCAGGAGAAAUCUGUGAUUGCGUACUGAAAUGGAGAGGUUGACGAGAGAGCUGCUGGGAUAUAGCACCAUUGGUAAAUGAAAUAGUUGUGGGAAUGGCCUGGUCAAGGUUGUUUAGAUCUGAGUCCAUUCCAUUCUUUGAAAAUUAAAAUAAUUACUUGUGAGUUGUGAUAUAGCACCCCGUAGACAAUUUAUUUGUGAUAUUUUUCAAAUACGAAGUUCUUAUUGUGAUAGUGUGGUGUUAAGAAAACCUUUCUUUAUUACAAGAUUGAUCAGAAACAAACAUUUCUUUACAAAAGCCUACAUUCACAUUCUUCCAAGAUGAAUGGUUAUUGACAGGACUACAACUA